GUGUUGGUAUUAUAUUCUUGUACCCACACUCUACAAUUGAUAAGCUAAAUCAACUCAGCUGGAAUUUCGAACAUUCUUUGAUUUCUCAGAGAGAUGUUGUAUUCUGGCUAACAAA